CAUUCGUAAAAGCUGAAUGGACUUGUAAGAUGUGCUCUAACCAUAAUUAUAAGCAGGCACUUAAAAAGGAAAUAGGUUGAACCGAGUAUUAGAAAUUUAGUGCCUUUAAAUCAUAUGGUACUUUUUCACAUGACUUGAUUUAACACAGAGUAGUAUGCCUGUACAUGUUUUGACUGAGAUGGUAGUUAUGUACUGCAACUAGUUGUGGAUUAAAAUCCAUGUGCUCCUGUUUAAGAAUUGUUUGGAAUGUCUGCUCAAUUGUGUAACUUAGCUGACUUGUAACUUCUAGACAACCUGGACAACAACCAAAGAUGCCAUCUUACCAUCUAGAUUGGCCAGUCUUUCAAGCAUAGUAUACAAAGAUAAGGUUGGCGCUAGCGUGGCCAAGUUGGCACUUGCCCUAGGUUUUUUGCCAGAUGUGCUAAGCUUAUGAGCAUUUUAGGAGACAAAUGUCCAAAGAUUCCUCCACAUAUAUCGUCACUAAAAAGGCAGAGGGAAGAAGGGACAUUUAUGUAUCUUAACUGCAGAUCUAAAUUUCGAGUAGCCGGUUUAUAGAGGCCCAUCAAAUGCAUAUGUAGACCUUCUAUGCGACCAACAAAUUUCAUGUGUGAUUCAAUAUCCAGUCGGCAUGUUGAGGUAUGAAGAGAUUUCAUAUGCUUCAGGACUAUGAAAGCUUAGAUAUAAGUCAGGUGGCACUUGGCUGCACCACAAGUCUUAAUUCGAUAUUUCACCCCAAGAUGCAGACAAUUGACAACAUGCAUUUUCAAUACCCCAAUUCAAUCUAAAAUCUCCAUUUUCACUUUAUUGCAGAUUUUUCAUUAUCUUGUUAUCCGCUUUGGUAGCUGUCGUUGUUGAAUACUUUUUGACAUUUGUAACGUUGGCUCAGAUUAUUUUUUUCGUUUAACUUAACAUACUUUUAUUAA